CGCUAAUGUGGGAAACAGGACAGAGAUGUGAAAAGAGCUUGGCCUUCAUUGUCUAUUGGACCUACGGGGACCGGCAGCGGGAGAGGACAGGAACGGCCCUUGUGUGAAGUUGUCCCAUGUUGAUGAGGUAUAUGCAUCACAGAUGGUGAC